UACCAGCACCCCGAGUGGUCGGGACGUUUAUUGGGCCUAAAGCAUCCGUAGCCGGUUCUACAAGUCUUCCGUUAAAUCCACCUGCUCAACAGAUGGGCUGCGGAAGAUACUAUGGAGCUAGGAGGCGGGAGAGGCAAGCGGUACUCGAUAGGUAGGGGUAAAAUCCGUUGAUCCAUUGAAGACCACCAGUGGCGAAGGCGGCUUGCCAGAACGCGCUCGACGGUGAGGGAUGAAAGCUGGGGGAGCAAACCGG
rnacentral:rRNA from 1 species